rnacentral:rRNA from 15 species
UUCAAGGGCGUAUGGUGGAUGCCUUGGUUCUAACGAGCGAUGAAGGACGCGGCUUGGCGGCGAUAUGCUUCGGGGAGGUGCCUAGCAACCUUUGAUCCGGAGAUCUCCGAAUGAGGAAACUCAAUGUGCUUGCACAUUGAUCCGCCGAUGAGGCGGAUUGCGUACCCAGGGAAGUAAAACAUUUCAGUACCUGGAGGAAAAUAGACUAAUAAGUAUUUCCUUAGUAGCGGCGAGCGAAAAGGAAGGAGCCCAAACCCGACUGCAUCACACUGCGUGUGAUACCGCCGGCUUUAGGAAAUUAGGCUUUAGGUUCUAGUAAAAAGCUAGCGCCUAACAUCCUAGCACCUAGUGCCUACGGACAUCGCGCUUGGCGUGAUGCGGUUGGGGGUUGUAAGAUGACAGUGUGGCCUAGCCAGAGGAGUAAAAAAUAUUUUUUUGUUAGCCGAAUUCUCUGGAAAGAGAAGCCCUAGGAGGUGAUAGCCCCGUAGGCGAAAACAAGAAAAACUCCUUUGCUGUUAUUCUUGAGUAACUCGAGACAUCAAUAGCUCGGGUGAAUCUGCCGGAACUAACCGGUAAGGCUAAAUAUCGUUAGAGACCGAUAGUGAACUAGUACCGUGAGGGAAAGGUGAAAAGCAGCCCGGUGAGGGCGGUGAAAUAGACCUGAAACCAUAUGCCUACAAAGAGUCGGAGCGGGUGCAUCACAUGGAAUGUGAUGUUAGGCGCUAGGCAUUAGGCACUAGGCCCUAGGAAUUUCCUAGAGCCUAAAGCCUAAUUUCCUAAAGCCUGGCAUCGCGCUUCGCGUGAUGCGUCCGUUACGGCGUGCCUAUUGAAGAAUGAGCCAACGAGUUGAUGUAUAUCGCUUGUCUAAGCGCGCGAGCGUGGAGACAUAGGGAAACCGAGUCUGAAUAGGGCGAAUUAUGGUGUUAUACAUCAGACCCGAAGCCAAGUGAUCUUGCCAUGAGCAGGGUGAAUCUCGCCGAAAGGCGGGAGGAGGCCCGAACCGUUAGGUCGUUCAACUCCUUCGGAUGACUUGUGGUAAGCAGUGAAAAGCUAAUCGAACUUGGUAAUAGCUGGUUCUCUCCGAAAUAGCUUUAGGGCUAGCGUCAAGUGUUCCUUCUAGGGGUAGAGCACUGGAAGGUUUGAAUAGGGAGAAAUCUCGUCAAACCUAUCAAACUCCGAAUACUAGAAGAAUAUAGCUUGGCAGUUAGACUGUGGGGGCUAAGCUCCACUGGUCGAAAGGGAAACAGCCCGGAUCUCCAGUUAAGGUCCCUAAAUCUAUGCUAAGUGCAAGGAAGGUUGUGAAAUUUCUCCGACAAUGAGGAGGUUGGCUUAGAAGCAGCCACCCUUUAAAGAAAGCGUAACAGCUCACUCAUCCAGAGAUUUUGCGCCAAAGAUGAUCGGGGCUAAGCAUAGUACCGAAACUGAGGACCCCUCACAUGCUUGCAUGUGAGGGGUGGUAGGAGAGUAUUCUUGUCUGCUGUGAAGGUGAAGGGGUAACCCACACUGGAGCGUCAAGAAGUAAGAAUGUUGGCACAAGUAACCGCAAUGGCGCUGAGAACGCGCCACGCCGAAAGACUAAGGUUUCCUUCCCGAUGACAAUCAGGGAAGGGUUAGUCGGGCCUAAGCCGAUGGCGAAAGCCGUAGGUGAUGGACACACGGUUAAUAUUCCGUGACCCAAAUUUGUUUCUAUGGAGGGACGAAGUGUAGUAUGUGGAGCGCAUUAUUGGAUUUGCGUUCGUCCUGUGAGAACGAUGCCUAGGAAAAUCCGGGCAUCAUAAAUUCAAGCAGGCCGGAAAUUUGAACCUUCGGGGGAUAAAAUUUCACAAAGCACGCUUCCAAGAAAAUCUUCUAAGAUUAAACAAGUUUGGACCGUACCGCAAAACCGACACAGGUAGUCAGGUCGAGUAGACCAAGGCGAACGAGUGAGAGGUCCCCAAGGAACUCGGCAAAAAAGCGGCCGUAACUUCGGGAUAAGGCCUGCCGAGCACCAGCAAUGGUGCUCGGCCGCAGCUAAAGUUUCUCUGGCAACUGUUUAUCAAAAACACAGCUCCCUGCGAACUCGCAAGAGGAUGUAUAGGGGGUGACGCCUGACCAAUGCCAGAAGGUCAAGCAAUGGCGGUUCGCAUCAUUUUGAGCGUGAUAGACGCGCCCAAAAUGAUGCGAGCUGAUCGUUGUAAGCCCUGGUGAAUGUCGGUCGUAACUAUGAAAUUGAUCGUUGUAGUUACGAUAAUAAAUCUUGCUAUAUGCGAAAAACUCUGGUUUGAGCCUAACUCUACUAGCUUCUAGUCGAAGAAGCAGUAACAACGAGAAGGUACAGACAAUUCGCAGGAAAGAUUUCCGUUAAAGUUAAAAUGCCAUGAAUGAUUGGAUCAAAAAAAUUGAUCCUAAAAUCGGUUAUUACCUAGCCGGGUUUUCAGACGGUGAAGGAAGCUUUAAUGUUUCUAUUAUUCACCGGCCUGAUUAUCAAAGCGGAAUUAAAUUCCUUCUUUCUUUUAAUGUUUCUCAAAGAGAUAGAGUGAUCUUAGCCUUGAUGAAGAAAAUUCUAAGGUGCGGUCAUUUAAGAGAGAGGAGGGAUGGUGUUGUUUACUUUGAGGUAAAUAACAUAAAUUCGUUAAGAGAUAAUGUAGUGCCUUUCUUUGAAAGAUUUCAUUUUCUUUCAGCAAAUAAAAAGAGAAAUUUCUCAAUUUUUAAAAAAAUUGUAGAGAUGGUAAAUAAUGGGAAUCAUUUGCAUAAAGAAGGUAUACAAGAAAUUCUCAAGCUCCGUGAAGAGCUUAAUAAAGGCAAAGGUAGAAAAAGAAAAUAUGAUUUUACUGGAUACAAAUUAAUUAACAGUAAAAACGGAAAUAUCCUCAGAGACUACACGCAAGACACUACUACAUCCAAGCAAGCACCGACUGAUGUAGAGUGAUGAUAUAGUCCGAUCCUUAUGGCGACAUAAGGUUCCGCUAAAUUAUAAAAGGCGGAUGUAAAACAUUAAAGAACGAUCCUAAGGUAGCGUAAUUCCUUGUCUGGUAAGUUCAGACGUGCACGAAUGGCGUAAUGACUGGAGAACUGUCUCGGGGACUUGCUCGGUGAAAAUACAAUACCGGUGAAGAUGCCGGUUACCUGCAGUUAGACGAAAAGACCCCGGGAGCUUUACUGUAACUUGAUAUUGAGCUUAUUUUUUUACUGCGUAGCAUAGGUGGGAGACUUUGAAGGUUUGGUUUCGGCUGGACUGGAGUCGUCAGUGAAAUACCACUCUGUGAAAAGAUAUGUUCUAACCUCGGUGGCAAAAACGCCAAGGGACAUUAUCUGGUGGGCAGUUUAAGUGGGGCGCUUUCCUCCUAAAAAGUAACGGAGGAGUUCAUUAAGGUCAGCUAGGCGCGAAUGGAAACCGUGCCGAUAGUGUAAUGGCAUAAGCUGGCUUAACUGUGAGAGGUACGUCUCAAGCAGAUGCGAAAGCAGGACAUAGUGAACCGCUGGUUCGCAUUAGAUGCGGCCAAAGAUUACCGGAUAAAAGCUACCCCGGGGAUAACAGGCUGGUUCCGCCUAAGAGUCCAUAUCGACGGCGGAGUUCGGCACCU